AUCCAUGCUAUGGUGGAUAUUGCCCACCCCAUCACAGCGCCUCAAUAUUCACCUCAAUAUCGUUUAGCAGCACAUAGAUCAUCGUCUGACACUUUCGGAGUAAAUCAUAUGGACGGUCACGCCUUUCAUCAACGGGACGGACUCGCAAAAAUCUUCCAACAGAAGAAACGGAGAUGAAAAAAGGAGAAGAAGGGAGGCAGGAAAGGAACGAGAAAGAGAGAGAGAGAAAAAGAGAGAGGUAGAUCUGCGAGAGUGUAUCAAAACAUCACGAAUGAAAAUUCACAAAUUGCAUGUAUCGCGUUAAUGAAAUUGCACAAAACUGCUGCCGAGUUGCUAAUAAUAAUCUUGAAUUUUGCCACUUAGCGUGCGUCCAAUUGUAAACACGGAAUACCAGACGAGCGUAAAUGCCGUAAAGCUGCCAAUCUCGACGGUGCCUCGCCUCGCUAACACCUAGAUUGCUUAGCGAUAUUGCGGAGGAUAUAAACUCCCUAUUUUAAAAGUGGUAGAGAGGGAAGGGGAUGGCUAGUUCCAGCGGCACCUGGUUUUGGUAACCUGACUGUGGAAGCUAAAAUGAGUCAUGUAGUGAGUAGUGAAAAAGCAUUUAAUUUUAAUUAGAGUGCAACCUUAUUUCAUUAUCAAUAAUUAGCUGUAGUUGACGAUUUAUUGGAAAUGUGAAAUAUUGGUAGCCAAUAAUUGAACGCGAAAAAAACAAGCUGUCCAUUUUAAAUUAAUAUAUCAGAACAUUAUAAUCAAUAGAUUCUUAAUAAAUAACUGAAAUGAAAAGAAAUUGUUUUUCGAAUUUAUCUAUGUUUCAAGCGAGUGUGAAAUUAUCAAUUUUAAGUGCAUUGGAGCUUGGAUAAAGGUUUUCAUACAAUCCUUUAUUUUAUAUUCCUUCUCAACCUAUUAGAUAAAAUUUUAUUUAAUACAAGAAGUUAUUAAGUUAGAAACAAACUUGGAACAAUAUUUUUAUUCGUUUGAUUAAACUAGUAAAACUAUGGCGCAUUUGCUAUUUUUGUAGUGUAUCUAAAGCCUUUACACUUUAUUAUAUUAACUACAACUCCUUUCAAUGUAAAAAUGUGGAUUUAUUAUCUCGAAAUAUGCUAUAUUCAAAUUGCAAUACAUUUAAGCUCUAAGUCUCUCCUAAUCCUUGUUUGUUAUGCGCAUUAGCGUUAAUUAUGUAGUACUAUGUAUUAUUAGUUGUCUUACAUGUUGCUAUUU